GACGAACGCUGGCGGCGUGCUCAACACAUGCAAGUCGAGCGAGGCCCUCCUUCGGGGGGUGCCCUAGUGGCGAACGGGUGAGUAACACGUGGGCAACCUGCCCUCAGCUCUGGGAUAACCCCCGGAAACGGGAGCUAAUACCGGAUAUGACCAAGCGAGACAUCUCGCGUGGUGGAAAGUUUUUCGGCUGAGGAUGGGCCCGCGGCCUAUCAGCUUGUUGGUGGGGUAACGGCCCACCAAGGCGACGACGGGUAGCCGGCCUGAGAGGGCGAACGGCCACACUGGGACUGAGACACGGCCCAGACUCCUACGGGAGGCAGCAGUGGGGAAUAUUGCGCAAUGGGCGAAAGCCUGACGCAGCGACGCCGCGUGAGGGAU
rnacentral:rRNA from 1 species